rnacentral:rRNA from 1 species
AUUGAACGCUGGCGGCAUGCUUUACACAUGCAAGUCGAACGGCAGCGCGGGCUUCGGCCUGGCGGCGAGUGGCGAACGGGUGAGUAAUGCAUCGGAACGUGCCCAGUAGUGGGGGAUAGCCCGGCGAAAGCCGGAUUAAUACCGCAUACGACCUGAGGGUGAAAGCGGGGGACCGAAAGGCCUCGCGCUAUUGGAGCGGCCGAUGUCGGAUUAGCUAGUUGGUGGGGUAAAGGCUUACCAAGGCGACGAUCCGUAGCUGGUCUGAGAGGACGACCAGCCACACUGGGACUGAGACACGGCCCAGACUCCUACGGGAGGCAGCAGUGUGGAAUUUUGGACAAAGGGGGCAACCCUGAUCCAGCCAUGCCGCGUGCGGGAAGAAGGCCUUCGGGUUGUAAACCGCUUUUGUUCGGGAAGAAAUCCUCUGGGCUAAUACCCCGGGGGGAUGACGGUACCGGAAGAAUAAGCACCGGCUAACUACGUG